AUGGGCCGUUUUCCCACUGCCCUAGCUUCCAGCCCAGGGCCCAUUCGGCCUCUGCUCACCCUUCUCCGCGGACCUUGCCUCACUGGCCUCCCCCAGGCCCCCUGCCUCUGCUACUGCUGCAGGCCUGCUCCCUCCUCUGACCCCUCGCCCAUCCCGCCUCCCGGGGCCACUUCCUCGAGGUCAGCACAAGGAGGGACCAGAGGAAGGACCUCGCAGGAGGCCCCCCUGAGUCCAGGGCACGGCAUCGCCAUCGGGGGAGACGUCUCGGGCGUGCAGGCUUGCCCGACCCUCCGAUCACAGGGCAUGGAGCCAUCCAGCCCCGAGGCCUGCUGGCCUCCAAGUGUCAGUGGUGUUGAGGAAGCCACAGCCGCACAGGGGAGCUCCCCACACCCCCACAGGCAGCACCCCACGGCGAGCCCUGAACCCCAAUUGCCGUGCAGCUGUCCGCCGUUGGGCCACACACCUGCCUCGAGGCUCUGCUUCCACCGGUCAGGGAGGGGCACGGGGUUGCAUGAGCUCCAGGGCCCUGGUGGCCUGGAGCUCCGGGGCUUUAAUCUAUACAAAUCUGAGCCUCACCAAUCUCUGCUCAGUGGAAACAGGUCAUCUGUUAUGGCCAUUCCCCCCCAUCCUGCUUUUGGUUCCACAGGACCUAGGAGAGGGACCUCAGCCCAUGCGACCACAGCCUCUUGUCCCCUGGUGUCCCUGGCGGUGUGUCCCAGGGGGUCCACGCGCCAAGCGGUAACCACAGACUCGCAGGGCAUCCAGUCACAGCUGCUGGGUUUUCCCUUUCUCCCCUCGCGCCCCUCACCUACCCUGAGGGCACACGUGUGGCCUCCGAGCUGCCCAGUUCAAUGCCAAGGUCCAUGCGAGGUGCAACCUGCCACCAUUCCCACAGCUGCCAGGCCUCCAAGUGCCAACGGACUCUGGGCCUCUCCCACACUCAGAGUUACACGGGCUCACCCAGACCUCCAAAAGGCCCUGUGGGUGCCCCUGAGGGUCACAGAGUCUAUUGCACAUUUAGCUCCUCAUUCUUUUCCUUGGAAGCUUCCAGUCUGUGUCUGA
rnacentral:lncRNA from 1 species